rnacentral:lncRNA from 1 species
GUUUUACUAGCUAACAUAUCUUGCACAUUUCAAUAAGUUCUCAAAUAAAUAUAGAAAUCUUUUCUUUAAUUUGCUUAUCAUCACCUUGAUUUCUUUGCUUAUUUUUAACUAGUGUUCAGCAUGUGUUCAAAUAGGGAAUUGUAAUAGUGACUCUGCAUACUGAAGUAUCCGGACUCUGAUAUAGCAAUAAAAUUCUAGAACCUAAUAAAGUAAUAAAAUCUAAAAGAUCACUGAAAGGCCUUAGAGUCCAGAAUAUAAGCUUGAUUCUUUGGCUUUCUCAUUAUGUAUAGAGGAUUUUCAAGCUUAACUUUUGAUAUCUUAGAAACUUUUUAUUUGCCUAGGCAUUUGUAUUUUGUCCAAUGCUACGUGGUUGCAUGACCACUAGCAUACUACAACUGCCUUUGAAAACAUCGAAUCAUCAUGAUUAGAGGUUGCAAGGCCUGCAAUUCUAGCAAGUGUGCCUUUGUUCAUCAGUUCUCUCUUCUCUUCUUCUCUGUCUUUCUCUUUCCUCUCCUCAUCCUGUCUACACAUCUUUGAUAUAUACAUGUGUCCCUGUGAUAUACUAUAUACUAUUCUCUAACUCCUCUCCCAAUUUUCUCUAAGGAAAAAAUUAACAUAUAAAUAUUUUUUUUAUUCCAUUAGAACUUAUGAAAAUGAAUUUUAAACCACUAGGACCUCGAGUAGCUUGAUAAUUAACAAUUCUUUUAACAUGCCUUAAACUGCUAACCUGGUUUACUCAACCAAAUUUGCUGUGUGGGUCAGGCUGGACCUAAAUUUCAUUUAAGAGCCUUACAAAUAGCUCUAAGCAGUUUGAAGCACUCAUAUCAUAAUAACCCAUGUGAUACAAAGGAAGAUUCUUAGAAGUUGGAAUCUGCCAGAAAGCAAUAGAUGACUUCUACAAUCACGUGUACUGAUCAUCAUCAGUCUUUAAGGAACUUCAAGGAUUUUUGAUCUGAAUAAUAGAUAAAGUAAAUAGAAAGAUGUUUAUAUUAUGGAAUCAGUUGUUCCCAUAUUGGAAAAACCUAUUGAUAUUUUUCCUUCCAAGUUUGAGUCUAGAUAGAUUUGCAAUGCUGUAGGAUCACCUCCAACAUUUUUAAUUAAUAUUUCAGUUCCAUCUGUAAAGACUGCAACAUUAUCUGUGCGAGAUUUCUUAUUCAGUUUAUUCUUUGUUAUCUUGAUGUCUCUUAGAAAACUGGUUGCAUUUUUAUUGAAAACUCACAAUAAUUAAAGCUGAUAAAAAUAGCUUUAUGAGACAUCCUUGCUAGAGGUCUGUAUUUUAUUUGAUAAAAUUAAUUGGGGUAAAUGAAGAACUAAGGGGUCUCGAUGUUUUCUUUGAUCCAAAACCUUGUCCAACUGCAUUGAGACUGAACCUUUUCAGUUUAGAAUUUUGCAUUAUCUAUUAGUGACUUGUAGGGUUUUAUAUAUCUAUGACAAAACAAGCCUUAUUUUCUGAAACCCUUCUGCGUUCUACAGAGGUUGACCAUUUUCGGUAUCGAGCAGCAUGCUGUUAGCCUACUAUUUUUGAAAUAAUCUUCUUGGUAAAUUGCAAGAAUAAGUAGCACUGUAUUUUGGAACAGUUUCAGCAAUGGUACCUCUUGGUAUAAAGCUUGGAAAGGUAUGACUAAUCUCUUGUAGGAUACUCCCUAAAGUGAAGAAAGUGUAUAGUGGCAUGCACAUCCUUAACUAAGAAAAAUUUUGAAAGGGCAGCAGUAAAUUGUUUGUCUUUGAGAAUUGCCAAUCGAAGAUCCUUCUUCAUGUAUUUAAUAGUCUCUCCGCCAAGUCUUGCUAGCCAUCGAUUAAAUACAGCAGAAACAACUUCAGGAUUAGCAACAAAGUUACUUUUAGCAAGGUUAAUAAUCUCAUGUGGAGUAUCUUCUUAUUUUUUAGUUGAUAUUAGUCAAUGAAUUUAGUUCUAGAAUAUUUUUAUCAGUCAAAAUUUUUCCUGCUCAACUUGAUAUCACUUAUUUCAACUUUUUCUGGGGACAAACUGCAAGAAUACUUUUGGUUUCUAUCACUGUUAUCCAACCAUCUUUUGAUUUCAACCUUGUUAGGUAUCGUUUUCCAAAGUUGUGGACUCCAGAAUACUUAAUCCUGCACAAUCUCCCUUUUAUGUAAACUUCAUUACUUCACAAAAUUAUUUCUAGGUAGCAUUGAGCUUGUUUUAAUGUUGUUUUGCUUACAAGUUUGUUCUUUUCUUUUGUUGCAUAGAUCUCAGCUGCCUUUUCUUUUGUCUAAUCAGGAGAAGAAAUUGUAUGAUGUUUUUUGUUUGAGCAUCUGUUGCCUUUGGACGCUCUUGAGUUCCUCCCUCUCGAGCUAUCUUGUCAUUACAAUCUCUCAUUUGAGCAAACAUCAUUACAUAUUUAUUUUGUGUAUUUCAUUUGAGCAAACAUCAUUAAUUAAUAAUGUUUGCUGCUUUAUGAAAAGAGAUCAUAAACUCUUUUAUUAUUAGAUUUUUCAAAAUGAACUUCAAGACUAUUUGCCUUGUGUUUCUCGCACUGUAUAUGAGCUCGAUUUGUUUAUUGAGUUUCAAAAACACCUAAAUCAUGUUAUAUUUGCUACUACUUUGUUCAUGGUCAUCAGAUCUGACUUAUCCAUCUUUAUACUCAUGUAACCUAUUCUUGACUGAUGUUAGUACUUCGACCUGCCAGCAUCCCCCAUACUCUUUUUUACCCAAAAAGGCAUGCUUAGGCAACCUUGAAUACUAUGGUAUAACAUGUUUUCCCAUCAGUUAAUGAGCACAUAAAAAAUAUUUGUGGCACUUGCGUGCUUGUUAGUAUACCAAGCUUUUUUGAUUUGAAUUUCUAUUAAAGAUUUAUUAUCAGGUUAUCCUGGAAAUAUGAGCUAGGAUUAUUUUUUAUGAGUGUCUUUAUGGGUUUUGUGUGCAUUCAUGAUUAUUGUAUUAGAUGAUCCAGAACCAAAAUCCCAUUUUCUUGUAUGUGGGUGCUUGUUAACAAAUUCUGUCACUGAUAAUAUUUAUUGAUUUUUGAGCUUGUCCUUUAAUUUCCAGGCUAUUUGCUGCUUUUUAGGUAAUUUCUGAAAUCUGGCCAUGUUUUUGUGGCACACAGGGAUCCUUCAAUAGCACUGGGCUGAUUGUGUCUUCCAAGCUGCCAAGGUUCUCUGACUUGUAUACUCUUACAAUUGCUAGCGCAGACCCAAAGUCCAUUUCUGCUAAUAAAACAGUCCACCUGACUAAGAGUGUGACAAAAUGGUUUGUUCUUGCUAUUGUUUUGCUUUUCAGCAAAGGUUUUGCUGCUUCUCUUGCAAUGUAUUGAAUUCUGAUGUUUUUCAUUGCCCAUGGCUGAAAAAAAAGGAUUAGUAGAACAUUUAUCUGAACCACAAGAAAAUGAGGAACAACAACCAUGUUGGAAUUCAUUUUUCAUGAGGAAGUGUUUAAUAAAUGAUCCUUCAAGAGGUUUAUAGUGGCUUUUGUAUAUUUCUCAUAAACAUGAAAAGGAGUGAUGAGAUUUCCAUUAUGUGAUAAUUAGGACUAAUAUUGGCGAGUCGUUCCUAUUGGAUUGCCUGCAUUGUUGGUCUUCUUCACCUUUUAGUGUUAAUAAGAAAAUCUUACGGAUGGCAAGCCUCUAUUGCCUUACUUGUUUAGCCUCCACUUACUUAAAUGUUCUCUUUCUUUGAAUUAUACUUAGAAUGAUUCUAUGAAUUUGCAUUGAUAUGCUGCAUCAUUGAUAUCUUAACCAUGACCAACAAGUUUCUGGCUAGUUAUAUUGGUUUGGAUUUGCAGAUAUUUCUACUAUCAUUGAUUGUUUUGUUCUUACUUCAGCCCUUACAUCCAUUGCGAUUCCUAGUUUUCAAGAGUAGUUGUAUGUACCCAACAAUUGAGUGUGUCCAUUUAAUAGUGGCUAAGCAUUCUUCCUCAAAAGGAUUCAUAUUAUUGCUUUCUAUUGCAACUUUCUCUGCCACUGUUAUCUCUGAUGCUUUCACUCACUAGUUUUCUUGUCAGGUUCACCAAAGAUGGGGUCCUUGUGGAAGGUUUGUUCUGGAAGGACGUUGAGAGACUGAUCGAUGAUUAUAAUGGAGAACGAAAGAACAAAUGACUGUGGAUUUCCUGCCUUGAUGGAAAGAUGGAGGUUGGUCUCAGAAAAGUACUCUCUCUGCUGUCAGUUUCAUAAAAAUAUCCAUUCCUGAUCUGAAAAAAAUAUUAUAUUUAAAAAGAACAUGAUGUAGCCUAAUCAUCAUUUUAUUGGCACAUGAAAAUUAUGGAUUUUUUUGGUGAUCCUUUUUGAUAUCUAAUCAUUUAGGCUUCGUUUGGUAGAGUCGUUGGCAGUAGAGCUUUCGAAAGUAUAGCUUUUUGAAGUAGAGCUUUUAUAAAAUGCUAUUUGUUGCUUGGUGAAACUUUAAUAUGCAUUUGGUAAACAAACUAAGAAAGUAUUUAGAGAAGCUAACGGUACUGCGGAUUGGGUGGCCAGCCAUGCCAGUAGCACCUUAUGGGCUGAGGAUGGGGAGCUGCCUCGGAAGCUCCACGAUAUUCUGUUUUCUAAUUUUAUUGGGUGUAUUCGUACACGUAUUAUAUGAAUUACCUGCUUUAACAAAAAAAAAAACAAACUAAGAAAGUACUUUUGGUAUGAUAAAAUGACCAUAAAGGAUAUUACAUAGUAUUAUACAAUAGUUUAUAAUAAAAUAUAAUAUAUAUUAAUACAUAAAUAUAUAAUAUCGUAUAAUAUUAUUGUAAUGUAAUAUAAUAUAAUAUUAUUAUAAUAUAGUAAUAUAAUAUUGUAUAUUAUAGCAUAAUAAUAUAACAUAAUUUGAUAUUACAUAACAUAACAUAUCAAUGUAUUAUAAUAUAAUGUAAUAUAGUAUUAUAGUUAUAGCAUAAUACAAUAAUAAAAGUAUAAAAUAUUAUAAUUAUGAUCAUUAUAUAUUAAUAUUUUAUCAAUAUAAUAUUUUUAGGAACUAAUUUUUAGGUUUUUAUUUUUUUGUUGGGAUUCUUGCAUAUUUCUGUAAUAUGAAGGGAUAUUUUUUGUAAUUAUAAUAUUUUAUCAUGGGUAUUUUGGUCUAAAAAGAAAAAAAUUAUAAAUCAAAACAGUUUUCUGACGUAUGUUAAAAGUGUUUUUCCGAAGAAACUUUAUUUUGGAGCUUCUCUGAAGAAGAAGUAUUAGCUUUCUAGCAAAGCUAAAAUAAUUUUUUGAUUUUUUUACCAAACACCUCUAUUUCAUUCAAAAGUAUUUUUGGAGGGUUAGAAAGCCUUUUUGAUCCACCAAAAGUUCUACCAAACGAGGUCUUAGACUAGCAUUAUGGACUUGUUUGAUUCAUAGGGAGCGAAGGGGGAAAGUGUGGUCAAUAAAAAAAUAAAAAAAUGCCACGUAUUUGGUUGGAAGUUUUAAAGGAGAAAGAUGGGAAAGUAGUUUUCCCAUAAAAAUAAGUUUUCCAUAUUUCAUAGAAAAGAAAAUAUAUAUGGAAUAUAGAAAAGCCACUUUUUCACAUGUUGGAAAUUGCGGUAAUUUUUUUACCAAAAAAUGCCCUUAAAUCAUUGUGAUAUUCUUAAUAGCUAUUUUUACUAGUUAAUUAUGGACUAUUAAAAAUAUACUAUUAAGAAUUACCACAGUUUAAAAAAGUUAUGGUAAUUUUAAUAUAAAAAUAUAUUAUAACUAUUAAAAAUUAUCACAAUAUAAAGAAGUUUGUAACUAUUAAAAAUUGGUAGAACUUUAAAAACUCAACUCAAUAAAUAUUUGUAAUAUAUAUUUUUAAAUUAUAUAUAUGCAACUAAACUCAACUCAUAUGAAUAUAUUAUAUAUACGUAAAACUUAAGUAAAGAGUGAUGAUACUAUAAUAGCAUCUUCCUACAUAUGGUUCUUAAACAUUAGUCUUCUCUAAUUUUUUGAAUUUUUAAACAAUCCUUGCAAGCUUAUCUGUUAUGCUUUAAUAAUUUGAAACCUAUUGACCCUAAUCUUUCUACUUUUUGUAUUAGUCAUUAUGUGAUUGUAAAUUCAAAUACAAAUCAAACUCGAUUGAAGUUACCAAAACAAAACCAUCUAAGGCCAUUCAUAUAUCGACUUUUAAACUGAGUACAUUACUUUUGGGCUCCAAUUAGCCAAGUCAAAAGCUGAAAGAAGUCAUAUGCCAUUGAAGCGAGUAUACUUAUUUUCAUUGGAAGUAAUAACAAACCAGUUCCAUAUAUACAAUCAAGAAUACUCCUAAAAUUCGCAAAAACAUUUAAGAAUAGAAGCAACUAAUCAAACAUCUCCUUUCUUAGUUUUCUUUGAGCUCGAAUCCUUCAGCUUUCUUAGUAGAAUCUGAGUUACUAUAAAAUUAACAUUUGAAUGAUUGUCUUGUGAAGGUUGCAUAUCCAUAUUCUCGACGAAUAUCCUUUACGAUAUCAGUUGGCCUAUAUAACGGCAUAUCUUGAAGUUUAUCUUUAACAAUAUUUGACACCCAACAUUUUGAAGCUUUAGGAUGCGACCGGACUUGCAACCCUCCGCCACAUGUAUGCUGAUUGUUCAUUUUUUUAGCUGCGAAUCUUUUUUGAUUCUCAAGUUGGGAAGCAUGGAUACGCCAUUCACAUUCUUCAUAUGCACAUUUUACGGUCACUCGCUGACGAUCGUUCUUCAUAAACACAAAAUCUCUAUAAUUUGCAAAGAGUUUUCACAUCAUUGAACUCUUGACCAAUGCCCUCUAUAGAGGGUUUCCAAGCAUCCAAAGAAUUUUUUUGACUAGGUUGCUCUUCGAUCGCAGCUCUUGUUUCUUCAACAACUCGACCCAAAUUACUUGAGCUACCCUUUGAAAAAUUUCUGGAUCUGCAACUAAACUCAACAUUUUGGGAUGGGCCACUUUCCCUACAAUAAGUUAAACAAAAAUUCAGCAUACUAACUAGUAAAUUUGUGCUUAACAUGCACAAACUAACAAUUGAAAUAUGCAAUACAAUAAAGAUUUAAACUAAGGAUGCCAAAAUAGAAACAGAUGCAAUUAUCUUGUGCAUUACCUCAUAUCAAUUACCACAUCAGCUGCUUCGGUCAAGCAUGGAAUAUGACUAACAACCAUCUCAAUCACCGGCACAUUUAAGUUGACGUGUAUUUGAUGCAUAUUCCGAACAUCUUUAUUGCCUAGGAGCGUAAUAAACAUCUAGACUUGUUUGAAAUAUAAUAUUUAACUUCUACCAUGGUAUCAGAUAGAUGUCUCCACCUUUUCACUAUUUUCUUGUAACUUUGAUCGAGAUUUGUGUCUUCGGAGAUGGAAAUAAUAAGAGCUCCGCUACCAUAAGAACAAAUAGCCAUGAAAACAGGGCUACUUUUGUUCCUUGAAGCCAUGACAAUGGAAAAAGGAGAGAGGGAUGAACUGAUCGAAAUUUUGAUGCUAUUUCAACAAUGAAGCGAAGGAAAUGCUGCCACAUGAACUAUUUUUCGUAUAGGAUAUCAGCAAUGAAAGACACAGAAGAAGUUUUCCAAAUAGGAUAUGAACACAAGAAGAUAAUCCAACUAAAAUUGGAUUUUUGUUUAAUCACAAUAGGGAAACAGAGAAGAACAGAGGGAUAUCUCAGUGGAUUAUGGAAAAUCUGAAUAGAAUUUCAACCUCUUUUACUCUUCUGCAAUCAAACCAUUGCCACUAAAGAUCGAAAGGGACUCUCUGCAAAUAAAUAAGGGGCAAUCUGAAUUUUCGGUAACUCAUAGAGAAGAAAUUCUCAGCAAUCUGAAUUUUCAGCAACUCACAGAGAAGAAACUCUCUGUUUCUUCUUUGGUUCACCUAUAACAUCUAACUCUCUUUGGCCUCGUUCUCAAUAGAGAAACUCUCACCGGCUCUCUGCCAACAUAUAAGGUAUCAAAAGGGACUCUCUAGAAAAAAAACCAAGCAAUCUGAAUUUUCUGCAACAGGAAACAAAAAGUUUCUUCUCUGUUUCUUCUUUGGUUCACUUAUAACAGUCUAACUCUUUUUGGCCACACUAUCAAUGGAGAAACUCUCCCCAACUCUCUGCCAAUAGAUAAGGUUCUAUUUCUAUUUUUUCAGCUACAUGAAACAGAAAAGAGGGAGCGGAACCAAAAGCCCUGUUUGCAGAACAUUUCCCAACCGUUUUCACAAGUUUUGAACCUUAACGGCAACGAAAGGGCAUCUUUGGAAUUAAAAAAAAAACUCUGUUAAGGACCGGUAAUUAAGAUUCUCUCUCAUCUUGGACCGGAAAGCUCUGUUUGGGUCAACAGGGAUUUUUUAUUACACUGUAGUCAUAGGGAGGGUCAGGAAUUAAUUUCACCUUUUUUUUCUUCUCUUGGGCCUAUUUCAUUGAUGGGCCCGGCCAAUAGGCUAUAUCUAUGACAAAACAAGCCUUAUUUUCUGAAACCCUUUCAUUAUCUAGCAGUGUGCUGUUAGCCUACUAUUUUUGAAAUAAUCUUCUUGAUAAAUUGCAAGAAUAAGUAGCACUAUAUUUUCGAACGGUUUCAGCAAUGGUACUUCUUGGUAUCAAGCUUGGAUAGGUAUGACUAAUCUCUUGUAGGAUACUCCCUAAAGCAAUGAAAGUGUAUAGUAGCACACACAUCCUUAACUAAGAAAAUUUUGAAAGGGCAGCAGUAAAUUGUUUGUCUUUGAGAAUUGCCAAUUGAAGAUCCUUCUUCAUGUAUUUAAUAUGCUCUCUGCCAACUUCUCUUGCUAGCCAUCAAGUAGCUACAGCAGAAACAACUUUAGGAUUAGCAACAAAGUUAAUUUUAGCAAGGUUAAUAAUCUCAUGUGGAGUAUCUUCUUAUUUUUUUAGUUGAUAUUAGUCAAUGAAUUUAGUUCUAGAAUAUCCUUAUCAGUCAAAAUCCUUCCUGCUCAACUUGAUAUCACUUAUUUCAACUUUUUUUGGGGACAAACUGCAAGGAUACUUUUGGUUUCUAUCUCUGUUAUCCAACCUUCUUUUGAUUUCAACCUUGUUAGGUAUCGUUUUCCAAAAUUGUGGACUCCAGAAUACUCAAUCCUGCACAAUCUCCCUUUUGUGCGAACUUCAUAACUUUACAAAAUUAUUUCUAGGUAGCCUUGACCUUGUUUUAAUGUUGUUUUGCUUACAAGUUUGUUCUUUUCUUUUGUUGCAUAGUUCUCAGCUGCCUUUUCUUUUGUCUAAUCAGGAGAAGAAAUAAUAUGAUGUUUUUUGUUUGAGCAUCUGUUGCCUUUGGACACUCUUUGAGUUCCUACCUCUAGAACUAUCUUGUCAUUACAAUCUCUCAUUUGAGCAAACAUCAUUACGCAUUUGUUUUGUGUAUUUCAAAUUCUCUUGCUUGCCAGCAAGUUGCCUUCAUAGCCUACAUGAGCUUAACUAUUUAUCUGGAAAAAGAACUGCAGGGAUGUGAAUUUCAAAACUGUUGUGAAUUGCAAAACUGUUGUGAUGAUUCUGGCCGGCCUACCGACCGACAGCCACACAAUCUCAAAGCAAAGAGGACAUGAGCUAGGAGUUUAAGAUGCAGCCAAUUUCUUUUCUUUAAAUUUAUUGUAGUUAUAAUUCUUCCUCUUGAACUUGUCAGGUUACUGAUGAUUCAACUCCUACCCUCUGUUUGGUGCUAAGGAUGAAUUGGAGGAGAGGAUGGAUAGGUCUUCUAUCCAUUCUCCUAUGUGCUUGUGAAACAAAGAAAGUUGGAUGGAAAUGAUUCUCUGAAAAAAAAAGAAUAAAUAAUAUUUAUAUAAUAUUUUUACUAGACUAUCUUUUGAUAAACGAUAUUAUUAUUAUCAAUUUAUAACAAUUUUUAUGCUAAAGAAGUAGGACAAUAUUUAAAUAUAUAAUCUUUAUAAUUUGUGAUUAUAUAAAUUAAUAUAAAAUUAAAUAAAUAAUUUUAUAAAUCAAUUAUAUAUAAAUUAAUAUAUAUAUAUAUAUAUAUUAAUUAUAUAAAUAACUUAUUAAUUUAUAGUUUAAUAACUGAUAUUAUGAUUCUUCCUAUUAUGGGCAAGAACAUGAUACUGUGCAUUAUCUCAUAUGAGCUAGAGCAUGGCGUCAUUUAUUAUCCCAUCAUGGGUAGGAAAUGUGAUCGUGCCUAGUCAAAUGUUGAAAAAUAACUUAAAUUGCUUAUUAUACCCUCAGUAUGUUUGUUGAACUCAAUACCUGUUAAAAUAUUGUCAAAUGGUAUUAAUUAUUUAUUUCGAAUGACUAUCGCAUGGAAUUAUUAGUUUGGUUGUUAAAUAUUAUCAUGGCUUGUUAAAUAGUGAAAAUAAAAAUUCAAGUACUGAUUUUUUACUGAGUUGUUAACUCAUGCUAUACUUUUUUAUCUUUCUUUUCAGAGCCAUAGAAUGCUUAGUACUCAACUAUGGUUUGAAAUUAUUGGUGCAAGAUGGAAUCGUUAGAGCAUCUCCGAUACCAAUUAAAUAUUUGAAAUUUGUAGUUGAACAACUUUUAUAUCUAUUGAUUGUGGGAUUAUAUUACUUUGUCUCUAAAUGAUUAUUAUAUUUUUAUUUUUUCUAUUAUUGUGAGAUUUAGUUUAAAUCUACUGACCUUGCAUAUCCAUUGGAGUCGUAUCAUAUGUAAUAUGCAAAAUCGAAGAUAUUGAACGACAAAGAGAAUAACAUUGAGCUACAAUUUAGGAAAUAAUGACAAAAGAAAGAAGAAAAAUGGAGAGAAACAUGGAAGUACAAUGACAAAAUACAUAAUUCAUUUUAUUUCCCCCAAAUAAAGAUGUAUUCUAAAUUUAGGAUGCAUUUGGUUCGCGACCGGAAUCAGAAUCAAAAUUAGAAUGGAUUGAAAUCAGAAUCGAAAUGGUCAUUUGUGAUGUGUUUGGUUUGUGACUAAAAUUAGAAUUGAAAUUGAAAUAGAAUUUGAAUACUAGAAGAGGGAGAAGAGAAAGUAGAGAGAAAGAGAGAAGGGAGAAGAGAGAGAGAGCUCUCUUCUUCUUUUCCAAAAUAGGAGAGAGCCCGCUGUCCCUUUCUUCUCAUAUCAAGUGUGACAACGGCUAAGAAUGCCCAGCUCUAGGGAUGGCGGCCAUGGGCGGCCUUUAGAUAUGGCACCAACUGGAAAACAUAAGGAAGAAAUACCACGAGGGGCAAGGGAUGAUCCACACCAAUCUCGGCCUAGAUUCUAGCCGACCCGCUGACCGACAGCCACACAAUUUCAAAGCUCCCAGAAGGCGGCGAGACCUGGCCAAACCUAGCGGUCGUCGGCAAUACUCAUGGGAGAAAAGGGGCCAAAAUAGGGCACCCUUGUUUCAGAUGAGAUUAUGGCUAUUCAUCAGUCCAAAUCAUAGUGGCAACAGCUAUAAAUCUAGAAAAAGAAAGAGUUGUGGUUUGGUUACCUCGUUCCAGUAAGGUGGUCUGACGGCUUGUCCGUCAGAGAUUCAAGGAAGAGGUUCAGAGAAGGAGCUUAGGAUCGGCGACUAUUCCUUGAGUUAUCAAGGAUGGUAUUUAAUGGGGAAGGUGGAGAAUCUUAAAUAGAGGGAAUCCUAGAGUUCUAGAUAAACUUGGAUUGUCUAAGAGCCCUGGAUUCCGAUGAAAUUAGAGAUCGAAGUCCUCUUACGUACAACAGAGCACAUUGAGCUAAGGCCCAGCCCUCUUCGGGCCAGCCAACCAGCCCAAGAAACACAGGUUAUCACAACAUCCUCUUUUACAUUAUUUACUUUUAUUGUCUUUUUUUUUCUUUCUAAGUUUAAUCAGGUGAGUUCUUUCUGAACUUCUUGUGCAUGCUCUGCAUCUUUUCCAAAGUUUGGAUCCUUUGGUAUCUAACUUGCGNNNNNNNNNNNNNNNNNNNNNAUCGGUCCUCCACCAUAGAAGAAAGGGAAUUGCUGAGGUCCACUGAAUCUUAUGGUUAAUCCUACGUCCAAAGUAGGAACAAGUCUUGCAGAAAGAUGCAGCCAUAGGGUACGCCAAGCUUUUAGCUGUCAUAUGUCCUGUUAUGCUGCUUCCAGUCCUUUGUAAUGGACCAGAUGUUGAUAGAUCUUUUAACAUCAAUGCAAGCCUCUUAAUUUCACCAUGUAUAGAUGACAACAGAUGCUUUCCUGUCUAUAUUUUGUACUAGUAGGCAUAUUCUCUAGCCAAUCCUAUAUGUUCUUUCUAUGGUUAAAAUGAACUUAAAAUUAAUAACGAGGAAAAGACGUAAAAAAAUAAACAAGGAAAAGAAGUUUAUAUAACAAUAUAUAUAAAAAUUAAUAACAAAGAACUUUAGAACCUUCAGUGGCUUAGUGUCCUCCAAUACAUAACCAUAUUUCGUUAUCAUUGAAACAUUGUAGCUCUAAACUUGCAACCAUGAAAACGUGUAACUAUAUUUCUCCCACCAUUAAAACCAUGCAUCACACCUCAAUCCCUCGACCUCAAAUUCAGAACCAUCAACCAGUAGAAGUAUCUUUUGUCAUUGCAUGUUAAGAUGUUAUGGAGAACCAAAUUAUUCGAGUUCGAACACAUCCAAUAAAAAUCAAAAAAUCAGAAUGUCACGAAAUGUCCUAGGCAAAUCCUCUCUUCAGGUCCACAGGUUGCUAUCGAAGUGAUUGGCCGCAUAAGCGGCCACUUGCUCUGCAGCACUGUUGGCCUCUUGAAAAACUGUGCUUCGUUCGAAAGGCCAUCCCGUCUUCACUCAUCGACCAAUUGUCCCAAGUAGAAGGUAGUUCCCAUCCUGGCCACUUGGACCCUUUUGGAUCCAAUCUACUACUGUAAUUGAGUCAUCUUCUAAACUCUCUCUCUCUCUCCCUCUUUUUCUCACACGCACACACAACAGAAACGUCUUUAUUUUAGAGGGUUUCUUCGGACUCGCUGCUAUUCAGUGCUGAACAGCUCAGCAGCCCGUCGGUUUCUUCGGACCAAUUCCCACCGCAUGCAUGCAGGUGAAACGCUGCAUGCCGUCCACUUCCCUAUCCCAUAGAACAACUCUUCUAUAUAUAUAUAAAUUACCUCACACUGAAUGGCAGCAACUCAUGCAGUCAGCUAAAAGAAAGAACUAGUAAGUCAGCUCAAGAUAAGGCAACCAUGCUUCCUAUCCUCCUCCUUUGCUUCCUCCUCCCCUCCUCCCAUGCCGCGGACUUCUGCGUCGCGGACCUCAUGGGCUCCCUGACCCCCUCGGGCUACCAGUGCAAGGUGGAAUCUGCCGUCACCACCGACGACUUUGUCUUCACGGGCCUCGGCGUCGUCGGCAACACCUCCAACAUCAUCAAGGCUGCAGUGACGCCGGCCUUUGCCGCCCAGUUCCCCGGCGUCAACGGGCUGGGCAUCUCCGCCGCUCGCCUCGACCUUGCUGCAGGGGGUGUCAUUCCCCUCCACACCCACCCUGCUGCCUCCGAGCUUCUCGUGGUCACCAAGGGCAUCAUCGUUGCUGGCUUCAUCUCCUCAGCCAAUACUGUGUACUAUAUGACCCUCCACAAGGGUGACACCAUGGUCUUCCCCCAAGGGCUGCUGCACUUCCAAGUAAAUGGUGGCGGGACGCCGGCGGUUGCCAUCGUGAGCUUCAGCAGCCCAAGCCCAGGGCUUCAGAUAACAUCAUUCGCGCUCUUUGCCAACAAUUUACCAUCAGCAUUGGUGGAGAAGGUUACCUUCCUCGAUGAUGCUGAAGUGAAGAAGCUCAAGAAGGUGCUUGGAGGGACCGGGUAAGGGAGCAAGCUUUUCAACCAGAGAGUUGAUUUGAUGGGAGUUGUCUAGCUGAGGUUUUUCUGUGUAUUGAGUGCUAGGUGUGCUUCUUUUGUUGUGGGCAACUGGUGGCGUAUGGACUCUUUUGUUUUGGGUGAGGUGUUGUGAGGUGAUCAAAUCUAAUUACGUACGCUUGGCCUGGACGUCGGAAUUGUUAAAAUUCAUGGAAAAAAAUUUCUUUUUCUUCUUCCCCUCCCCUAAACAAGUCUAAUUAAAUAGUUUAACGGAUAAAAUAGAGAUAAUCUUGGAUUGCAUGGAAAAGGGAACCUUUUAGCAUGAUCCACAUCAUUCUUCAGAACAGCCAAAAGUUUCCACGGAUGUAAUACCAAAGCUGAUGAAGGCCAAGAAGUGUGCUAAUUAAUCACCUAUCCAUUAAACAUCUGCUACAUAGAAAAACUGUAGAAAUAUUUUUUAGGCAAAACUAUGGAGUAUUCGAGCUUCCUGAGAAGCAUGCCUCAUGUAGCAGGCAUGUCACAUAUGACAUGCUUCAGAAUUCGUAAGUAGGAAAAUCAUAAUGAAGUCUGUUACAGCAAUAUAUAGCAACUUAAUAACUAAUAGCACUAUUGUUUUGAAAAUCCAUAUAUAUUUUGAAAUUAUUUUUUAAAAAAGCAUGAAUAUUUCUUCAAAUUCAGAACUAUAAACUAAUAUAAUUGGAGGAUUACAAAUUAAAUAUGUUACGACCUCAACAGUAAUUAAUUGCAGUAUUAAUUAAGUCAGCAUCUCUUCUUUUUUUCUUUUUUUUGAGGGAAAGGUCAGUUAUUUCAAACAUUGAUUAAACAAGCUUGAAGUACUUGGCAUGUCAUUGCAUUUGAAUCCUCCCGUAGGCUAUGAUAGCUUUACAAGUAGGUAGGUCAAAUUAAUUACAGUCAAGUUGCAGCAAUUAUAGCACCAACUUAUUUGGUGACUUGAGAGGGUGCUUAAUGUACAUAUGGAGUAUGCUUGUGGCGGUUUUCUUUCUGGUAGCCUGUCCAUCUCAUGCACCUGAGAAAUCAUUUUCUUGGGCUAUUGGCAUGGCCAAGUGGUCCAUCCAUUUCGGCCACUUGAUAUUUAACCAACCCUGUGGCCUUUCUUUUCUUGCUUUGAUCUUUUCUAAACCCCCGUUUCUUGGAAACACUUUGAUGCUUGUCUACGUUUCGAGACGAAAGAAAAGGCGCACGGACUGCCAGUUCGCAGGUGAGAAGUUUAAACUGUGAAACAAAUCCUAUUUUGAUGUUGUUUUCCCUUCUCCGUUUGAGAGAAAGGUACUGAUUCACUUGUAAAGCAUGUUUAAUGGAGACAAAUAGGUGCCGAGGCACCUAAAGAAUUUUAUUCCGAAGAAGCGAACCUUGCAAAAUAGAGGGAGGAAAACAAAAAAAGGGAAGAGAAGAGAAAGUGAACAGAGAAGAAGCAAAGAAAGGAUGAAACAAGCUCGAAGUCUAAGCUUUCCCUUAACUUUGAUCACUCUGAAAACCCUCUUGGUAGCGGCUAACAAACGCUAAUAUAUCAGUGAUACACAACAAGUGAUUUUAGUUCGAGUUGGGUGUGCUAUAAUAUAUAUGCCUCAUAUAUAUAUACACAGACACACACACACACACACACACAACCGUGCAUUAGCCAAUCAGCAUAUUUUACCUUUGCAAGAUGAAUUACGGCCCAAUACAAUACCCAUCAUUGGAUCGAGCUCACGGCUUUUGCGCUCACAGUUCAGGCCAGUGGGCAUUGGCAUGAACGUCCAAGUUCAACCCUAAACUUGAUUUGAUCUGAGGCCCAACCCAGUCCAACCUGAGCCAUUGACACUCCUGAUACGUUUUCUUGGGGACAAUGCAGAGUUCGUACUUACAAAGUUUUUCAAGAAAAAAAAAGAAAGCAUCUUAACUUUCUUCUAUUAUCAUUCACUAAUCUUCACCUUGGAGUACUGCAUUCCAUAAAUACUAGACUUUUCUCUUGAGUACCGCUGCUGGUCACCCAUGAGAUCACAUCAAGCUAAUGUUGCAGCCGGGAACUGGUGUAGUAUAUAUAUGAGCUGGUCGAUGUUGUUAGUCGGGCCAACCUAAUGCUUGGCUAAUCACUGGCUUCCACACUGGAUGGCGAACUAAGCAGUGGGCUGAUGGGAGAUCUCCAGCUUCUCCUGUCUCUUUACAUUUGCGUAUGACCUCUCCACGAGUUGGAUUUCAACGCAUCUCUUGGAUAAUUAACAACCAAACUAAUGUUCAAAAGGUCACUCAAAUAUUUCAAAUCAAAUGGCAUACCCGUAUCAUAUUCAUACCAAAGAUCACUACUUGUCAAAUACUUCUUAGUUAUGAAUAUGACAUUUGUGUUAAGUUUUUGUGAGGACCAUGCAGGCGUGUGUUUAGUUCUACAUCGGUUAUUUUUGGAUAGAUCUUGUGUACUUAUAAAGAAUCAAGGACCAAAACAAUACAUUCCAGUUAGCCAUUUUGGGUGAGGUCCUAUGUUGUUACAAAUAGUAUCAGAGCAGACCCGGCCCAUAACCUAUGCGGACUACGAGAUACUGCCGCACGGAUUCAUUGGGAUUGACCGUGGGCCGAUCAUGGUGCUUGUGAUUAGAAUUGAAUGAAUUUGAAUCCUUAGCCUGAUGAGGACAUCAGGGCUUAAACAUAUGAGUAUGUAAGGACUUGUACAUGCAUAUGUUUAGUUUCACAUCGGUUAUUCGCUGGAUAGAUUUUGGGUACUUAUAUAGGAUCAAGAAAUUCAAAUAAUACUUUCUAGUUAGCUAUUUUGGGUGAGGUUCUGAAUUGCUAUGGUAAGCUGCUACAAAUAUAAUCUUGAAAGUGUGACAGGCUCCAAAAUUUGAAGAAUUGCUUCGAUUCUUGAAAGGACGAAAGCCUUUAAAGUUUAAUGUGCUGCUUUUGUUUUGUCCUACUCCAACAAGAGGCUAUUGUUGAGUUAAUCUUCACUGCUCUUCCUUACAGCUCAUCAAAUAAAGAGGCAAAUGGAAUAACACUGGUCCAUGCAUCCUUCCAAAAUCUGAUGGUAACACCAUCGCAUAGGUUAAAGUUUGAUGUUCUUAAAACUUCUUUCAAACAUAAUAGGAAUUUUUAAUUUGCCUGCUCCAGGAUGCUUCAGGUCUUCAAAGUAGUUUUCGUGCCCACUUUGCUAAUACGGACACAUUGAGAUUGCUAAUAUUCUUAAUAUCCAGUCCCUCAUCCUUCUUAUCUCAGCCUACACCGUCGAGAUGAAAAAGCAUCAUAGCUCAUGUGGGUUAGAGGCCUACUUUGACAAACAAAUUAAGGUGGUCCCAUCAAAUCUCGUCCCACCCUAGCUCGGGUUUUAUCUUUUGUGCAACCAAUGCAACGAAUAAUUCACCCUUUAUCGCAAUAUGCGCUGUUGGAUCGCAUAACAGCUGCCAUGAGAUCUGUGUAGACAAACAAAAGAAGGAGUUAUUAUUUGAACGAGGUACGUAGGCUUUUUGCUCCUCCGUCACUAUGUAGUCUUUUUUUUAAUGAUUCAACUGACUGUGCUCAUGCGAGAUUAGUAUAAGCAUCUGAUGUAUUAAAAAAAUAAAAAAAAUUUGAAAUGUUUGAGAUCUGUGCAAGAUAUGAUCUAACGAUUGAUAUUGUGAAAGGAGAACAAAAGAUACAAACCGCACCCGCACCCGCACCCGCAACUCCCAUAUUUAGCUUGCUGAAGUGGGUGGGAGGGGGAAGCCAUCCUCGGAUUCCCAUGGGCCACAAAAUUCCUUUUGUCAGGAGGACCGAAUUCCAUCAAAAAGGAGGCGAUUGCCAGCCUUUCACAAAUUCCAAAAAAAAAAAAAGGGUAAGUAGAGUACUCAUGCCCCAGACUGGCUCCGUGUGACCCUCUCAGAACCCGAGCUGUAGCCACCAGUGCGGGUGAAAUAGGCCGGGUUGGUUUAUGACUCGACCUGAUGGGAUUAAAUCCAAUGCAACCCUAUUUAAAUAACUCAUUAGACCGGGUUGAGCUCUAAAAUAGGAUCCAUUCCAUUUUUUGGGCUGAGUUAGAGUUUUUUGAAUUCUGGCCCUACCCAAUCCGAUCAAAUCCAUUUGAAAUUUGGAUAAUUUUAGAUUUCCAACCCUACAACCUACCCCGACUCGACUGACCCGAACCUGCUAAACUAUUUGGACUCGCGGGCCGCAGGGGUGCAAGCCUAACAGAUCAGCUGGGUGCUUAAGGCUCGGCCCAUUUGUGACUCUUAUGAGUUAAGACUUAAGAGUUAAGUCUUAACUCUUAAGNNNNNNNNNNNNNNNNNNNNCCUAUCCGAUCCGAUCAAAUUCAUUUGAAAUUUGGAUAAUUUUGGAUUUCCAACCCUACAACUUACCCUGACUCGACUGAUCCGAACUUGCUAAACUAUUUGGACUCGCGGGUCGCAGGGGUGCAAGCCUAACAGAUCAGCUGGAUGCUUGAGGCUCGGCCCAUCUGUGACUCUUAAGAGUUAAGAGUUAAGUCUUAACUCUUAAGACUUCGAUCUCCACUCUCUAGUCUCCACUAUUUCGAUUUUCCACUAAGCUCCAUCUCUUUGACUCUUCCCCUCUUCCGUGUAGCCAUCUCGAGUCUCGACCCAUCCAACCGUCCCAGUUCGGCAAAUUCCUAUCGGCCAUCGCUCUCUCACCCAGAUGGUAGACCCCAUAUGCAGUAGAUUCGCUAGUUCUUCUUGCCCAUCGCAAAUUGCAAUUGAUCUCACCCUUUGGUCGUACAAAACCCUCUGAUGACUUCGGUGCCUGGCGACUUUGGCGUACUUCGGUCCGACUAUCAGGGUACCCCCUCCUCUGAAACCCUAGAAUUGUAUAUUUACUAUUUAGGGAGAGUUGGGAGAGAGAGAGAAAGAUCAGGAAGCGAUGGCGAAUUACGGUAAUUAUCUAUCAUAUCUCAAGGUGGCUUCGGUAAAUCUCCAAUCUUUCUCGCUUUCUUCUUUGUUUUCUCAAUUUCUAUUAAUGUGCGCGAAUCGUCGGAUCAGACGACGAAUUAGGGUUGCAAGAAUCAAAUGCUUUGAGGCUUUCUUUAGAGCAACAUUGUUGUCUUUCUUGCUUCCGGAGCUAAUAUAGGCUAUAGACGGAGGGGUUGCAUUAAAAGGCAUGCGCCAUGUGUCUUUCUUGACAAAUCCAAGUCUCUCAUUUCAAAAACAUUUAUCUAGCAGUGGCAUCUUAAGUUCACCCUUUCUAGCUCUUUUUACCUAUCAUAAUCAUGACAUCCUCUUGAUGUUAAUGAUCUAGCAUGCUCCUCUUUUCAGUCCUAAUGAUAUAAUUAAUAAUGAUAGUUGAGGUCUUUGACCAUAGCUUGUGACUGAUCUUCAAGUUUCUUGCUUAGGGUCUCGAAAAAAAAAAGGAAGAAAAAGCAAGAUAUACCACAAAAAAAAGCUUUGAAAACAGUUGGUAAAUAUAAGGUACAUAUAGACUAAGUAAGGAGAAAACCCUAUUUUGGAGAUGAAUGAAUUUAUUUCUAUUCAAUUUUUUUUUAUAAUUAUGGAAUGACAUAAUUUUUACUUUAUUGUGAUGUAACUACCAAAAGCACUGGACGUGUUUAUUGAUAGCUUUCUACAAUAUGUUUCUUGUAUUCCCUCCUGCUAUGAUAAAAUAGGAUUUUUGUUUAAUAAUUAUUCUGCAAUAUUUUGAAAAAUUUCAAAAUGCAAUUGUUGAACAAACAUGUCCAACCCAGACCUGAACCAAACCCAAAUUUUCUGGGUUGGGUCCGAGUUAUAUAUAAAUCAGACCUGACUUGAAUGACCUGUUGGAUCAAAAAUUGUAGCCAUAGACUGAACUCGACCCGAUCCGAUCCGGUCUUUUAUUGGGUUGGGUAUUGGUCUAAAAUUAGAAUCCGAAUAAGAAACUGAGAUGAGUCGGGGUCCAACCCAACCCAUUUGCACCCCUAGCCAACCAGCAUCCCGUGCAAGCACUAAAUCCGGGGGUACCCAACCCAUGCAGUCCAAGAUUUGAUUCAAAGUAUCUAUGGCCAUGGGAAAAAAAAACAAAAAAAAAACAAGUGAUUGGCAUCCUCAUUAACCAACCCACACGCAGGACAUUGAAGCAAGACGGAGAGAUUGAAGCCAUAAUUUAGUUGGCAGAGGACCCCACACAAGCUUCCAUAUAAAUAAUCUAAACUCUUGCAGCUACUUAUAAGCUUCCAAAUGGCUUGCCACUCCUGAUCUGCACCUUGAACAUAGUUAAGGGCAAGAUGUUGAUCCAAGCUCGUCAGCCACAGUGCUGGGUAGCUGUAAUAGGUUUGUUUCGUACUAACUGAACCAUAUCUCCACAAAAAGGCUACUAAAGUAACGGUAUCUUCCAUGCCUCUCCACAGUGUCAAAAAUCAUUGCGCAAAGUAUUAGCAAAAGUAGGCAAACGGGACAUUACUUCAAAAAUUUAAGUCUAUAAUAGACAUUGGCCACAGUAACACUACAAUGGUAAAUCUUGGAUAUUUGCUGGGUAGAUCUUGAAUACUUAUAUAGGAUCAAGAAAUCCAAAUAAUACCUUCCGACUAGCCAUUUUAGAUGAGGUCUUGGAUUGUUACAAAGCCUCUGCCCAUUUCUAUGGGUCAAAGAAGCCAUAUGGUGUGAUGUAUUGCCGUUGCCCCCUUUGUUCAUGUAUUAUGAGUUGUGUCACAUAACGAAGCACCAUGAAUGGUGGGAGGUGGUUGAGUGACUUUCUUUCUUUUUUUUUAUUAUUUUUUUGUAUUUUUUAUUUUUAACUAGUUUGGUUCAUGCAAAGAAUUUUUUUUACUAAAAUAUCUUUUUUAUAAGAUAAUUUCUAAAAAUAUGAUGCUUAAAAAAUAAUUUUAAAAUAUUUGGUUGAUAUGAAAAAAUGGUACAUUCUAAAGUGGUUUAUAAUUUAUAUAUGGUUGAACAUCUACUUUUGUAAAAAGAUUGUAUAAAAUAUAUAAUAUAUUUUUAAUAAAAAAAUUUAUCAAUAAAUUUUGAUGGCUUAAAAAUAUUUUUUUGAAAAAAGAGACCUUAAUUUUUAACUGACGAGAAAAAAGUUUUUUCAUAUACAUGGUUGUUGUAAGCUACCUACCUCAAGCAGGUAUAAUUUUUAGUUAGAGCAGCUCAACCACUGACUUGGUGGGCCAGGCGGCGCAUGUAUUCCAAUAACCACUCCCUUCACAGAGAUUGUACACUGCUGGGACCCAUGGAAAAAAGAAAAUGGUAUUUUUUUAUUUUCUAAAAAAACUCUAAUUAAAUAAGAAGCAUUUUUUUUAUUUUUUGUUGACCUUUUUUUUUCCCGAACCAGAGGAGUCUUUUGUUAUUUUUUGCGAGCUACAAUCGCAUUAUUCCGGUCAUCAACAAAAAGAAAGACAACAUGGCAUGUGGACCCGCAAUUUGACGAGGUCAAUCAAUACUAGAUCUCGGAAUUAAGAGGAACCCGUGGUAUAGGCAACAAGGAAUCUAGGAUCAAAAUUUUGAAAGGUGAAUUUUUGAGUUAUUAAACAUUUGCAUGCUAGUUGUAGAUUUUGUUUCUGAAAAUUUGUCUUUAAAUUAGUUUCUAUUACAGUUUACUAUGAUAUUUGGUACUUAUCCGAACAUUCCUUUUUUUAUUAAUAUAUACAUGAUCCAAUCCAACCAAAAAUUUAGAGGCAACUUACUGGAUAUACUGUUAGCUUAUUCUUCUUUUUCUUGUCUUUUUAUCAGAUUGCAAAGUGUUGAUCGGAUGGGCAUGUGGGCGAGCACUAAAGGAUUAAGAUUUAGUUAGUUUCCAUCAUUUCAGUAAAUUUGUGUUGAAAAAUAUUGCAUAAUUUGGAAAUAAUGACUCUUUCUAAUUGAAGUUAACUUGAUUUAUGAAGUCAAUAAUGAUUCAAUUUUCUAGACGCUCUAUCUUAUAUAACUUCUUGCUUUGAUGCAUAUAUGUUUGUAAAGCGAGAAAUUCAGGCAAGUUUUAUAUAUUCUAUGGAUCAAUCCUACGAGAUGUUGAAUCGUGUAUUAUGUGCUCAACUCACGCUUGUAGGAUAGGUCUUGAUGUUAUCCCAAAGAUUUUUUUUUUUGAUUAUUCAAGAAAUAUUGGGAUAGAUUUUUUCAAUACAAGCGAGGCAUUUAAACUUGCUCAUAGCUGGCCGUUUACUUUCAUUCUAUCACAUUAUCCUCUUGUGAAAAAUAAAACAAGUACUUGAUGAUAUGCCUGGCCGUUGCGACCAACCUCCUUCUUCUUCCUCUUCUUCGGCGGGAAUGAGGAUUGACACCUCUCCAUCAUGGGGGCGGAGGUUUCUUCGGCAUUUUUUUUAAAAGAAAAACCUCUUAGGAACCAAAAUUAAAAUUAGUGAAGUCGUUGGACCGGACAUUUCAGUUUUGGUCAAAAGAGAUUUUUUGUUAUACUGAGGUCCAUGGUAGGGUGGGAAAAUAAUUACCCGUAUUUAUAAAUGGGUGAACAUGUAGAGGAGCCAGGGGACUUCCUAGUUGUUAGGGUACACUGACUUCUUCGACUUCUCUCCAUGUCUCUCUAAGGAGAGGCAACAUGCCAAAAUAAUGGUGGGUUGGCGAAUCCAAACAGGUCCACAAUUGGGUUGGCGAAUACAAAUUAGGAUAAACUACGGCAAGAUGAUCACGUUAGUUUCACUCGACGUGGGUUUCACUUAAAGUUUAUGUAGGACCUGGGAUAUAAAACCGGGUCAGGUUUAUGCUGUGCUCAUAGAUGCCGUUUAGCUUUCGUCAGAUAAAAACAUCAUGGAUUCUUUCAAAACAAUUUAAACAAGAUUACCACACAAAGAAAUCGUUCAAUCAAAUGAUAAGGUCUUGCAAAGUUGGGACAGAUACAUCCGGAAGUCGUGGGGGAUACAUCUCUUCGUUCACCAUGGCCACCAACCAACAACCACACCGUAAGCGUCCUCUCUCUCUCUCUCUCUCACUCACCAACUCAGCCUGUGUCUCACUCAUACAUAAUAAAAAAAGAAAAGACAAAGAGACAGCAGAAACUUCUUGGUUUCAGGUUUCUUUACAGCUCAAUAUCACGUUGGAUUCUCUCGACCAAAAACCCUAGCCGUACGUUUACCAAACACUGCAUGGCUUCAAGGAUUUGCAGCUCUCGAUCUCCUCCAACUCCGGACUGACUCCCCAUCCCAAAGACCCCUCUAUUUAAACCCCACACACCAUAUAUUAACUCAUAGGGUGAUCCGGAGGAGGACAGAAGCAAAUAAGUCAGCGAAAGAGAGACGGCAACCAUGCUUCCCAUCCUCCUCCUUUGUCUCCUCGUUUCCUCCUCUCACGCCGCAGACUUCUGCGUGGCGGAUCUAACCGGCCCAGAGACCCCCUCGGGCUACCAGUGCAAGAAAGAAUCUGCUGUCACCGCCGACGACUUCGUCAUCACCGGCCUCGGCGUGCCCGGCAACUUUUCCACCAUGUUUAAGGCAGCGCCGAAGACGGCCUUUGUCGCCCAGUUUCCUGGCCUCAAUGGGCUUGGCAUCUCAGCUGCCUACGUCUAUUAUGCCCCUGGGGGUUUUAUCCCCGUCCACAGCCACCCGGCCGGCACUGAACUCCUUGUGGUCACCGAGGGCACCCUCUUGGCAGGCUUUAUCUCCUCCGCCAAUAACCCCUACUAUAAAACCCUCAACAAGGGCGACGCCAUGGUCUUCCCCCAGGGGCUGCUGCACUUCCAAGUGAAUGUUGGUGAGACGACAGCGGUAGGCGUCGUGGGAUUCAGCAGCCCGAGCCCUGGGAUCCAAGUAACAUCGCCCGCGCUCUUUUCGAACAAUUUGCCAUCGGCAGUGGUCGAGAAGGUUACCUACCUUGAUGAUGCCGAAGUGAAGAAGCUCAAGAAGAUGCUCGGAGGGACCGGAUAAAUGAGAGAGCUCGCUGGCCGAGAGUCGAUUUAAUGGGUGCCGGGUUUCUUAAUUUGAGGGUGUUGUCUGUGUUAAGUGUUUGAUUUAGUCCUUAAUUUUGUUGUGGGCAUAUUGGUGGUGUAUGAAGUCCUGUUUCAGGUGUGGUCUUCUGUGGGCACCAAAUCUAAUUUUGAUGUAAUAAACACUAAUUGUUCAAUUUUUUCUGUUUUUUUUUUUUAAACUUAUUUAACAUGAUACCUAAAUACCUCAUAUAAAUCCCGUGCCAUAGAUAAAAAAAAAAAUGAAUAUGCAUUUAAAAGUUGGAGAUUACAGUUGGGUGUGGAACAAAAAUGGAACCGUUCAGCAAUAUCAUCAACAUUCCGUUCUUCAAAAUGGAAAAAUAAUUCUUAUCGGCGAAUGCUAAUUAGGAUUGUCCUAAAGACUUAUCAAUUUAACAUUUAUUACUUAUCAAAUUUGUAGAAAUAUCACUUAGAAAAAAUUGUACACUAUUCAGGCUCUUCUAGAGGAAUGUCUCGUACAAUUAAUAUGUCAUAUGGCAUGGUUUACAAUUGGUAAUUAGGAAAAAACGUGUGAAGGUUAUAUCAUGGACACAAUAUUGAAGGUUCUUAUAAAAAUAGUAAGAGAUCAAUAGGACCAGUUGUUUGACAUUUCAUAUAUACUUUUUGAAAUGAUUUAGAAAUAAUGCAUGAAUAUUUCUUAAAAUUCAAGAAUUAUAUACAAACUUAAUUCAAGAACUUGUCAGUUAUCAUCAUGUUACACUUAAGGAUAUCAAACAUUCGCUGGACAUAUGCAUAAAAUCCUCCGAAUGCCAUUGAUUCUUUAUCGAAAACCUCAUGUAGGCUAUGAUAGAUCUACAAGUGGGUAGGUCCAACUAAAGUUAUAGCAAUUAUAAUACCCACUAGGUGGGUAACUUAAGAGGGUGCCGUAAUAAUGAAUGAAUAUAUGCAUGGAGUAUUCUAGUUCGUCUUGUGCCAAUGGCCCCAUUCUUCUUGGUAUAAUGUCCAUCUCAUGCAGUUGCGGAGUCUUUUUCUUGGGUAAGCUAUAUGGCCAAGUGGUUCAUCCAUCAUGCUCACUUGAUACUUGACCCGUCUUCUUUUGAUCUUUUUGUUUUUUCUCUUUGUUGGAAAUCAUACUUUUAUGCAGGAUGAAAAAGAAAGGUUGAUCAUCUUUUGUCAAACUAGUCUGCUUUGUAGCCCUCUCCAUUAUUUUAUUCAAGAUCUGCACUUAUUCAUAGAAAAAAAUUUCUUGUGGAGGUGGUUUGUCAACCUUUUAGAAACGGAGGGCUAGGAAUUCACUCCUUGCUUGUGAGGUGAGAGCUCUUUGUUGCUGGAUACCUUCUUGAGACUAAGAAUUUCUAGAGUACCUUGAUGAGGGCCAAACACGACACGCGGACCUCAGCACUUGGUUUUCAGACUGGACAAUAUAGUUCAUUCAUCUGGAGAGAGAUCUAUGCCCACGCCCUGGUGGUGCUCCCUAGGAUCAGAUGGUCUAUGGGAGAUGGUCAUUCUAUUGAUAUGAUGGAUGAUAGAUGGCUGACGGAGCAGCUGCUUGGUCUGUGGCCUACCAUGAUCAAUCUAGAGAACUCGGCCGGCCGCAGAGUUUGUGACUUAUUCAUCUCGGGGGCGAGGAGAUGGGAUGAGGACGCCAUAUGGCGAGCCUUUAGAGUGUAGUUGGUAGAGAGAUUUCUGGCUCUAUCAAUUUCCACUAGAGGGGAGCGUAGACAGGAGGGUCUAGAGAGUGACCGGCAAGUCGAACGUCAGUACUCAAGACCUCUAUGACUUGGUUAGUGUCAAGGUGACUCGGCGGAUUGAGUGAGGCUGGAUUUGGAGGCUUCACAUUCACCCUUACAUUGCUUUAUUCAUUUGAAAGCUAGCAUGGGGUUGCUUACCGACCAUGAGUGUGCUAGCCAAACAAAGGUUGAGAAUAAGUACNNNNNNNNNNNNNNNNNNNNCAAGUACUGAAUGUGAUGAAUGCCCAGAUUUUGAGGUGUCUAUCGCCCAUGUCCUGUUUGGUUGUUCAUGGGCGAUUCAAGUUUAGAGGGGGCUCGAGUUGCCUCAAGAUUUUUGCAGUCCAUGUCCUCGGUUGAAGACUUUCUUGGCUACCUGAAGGAUUCUAUGAGGAGCACCACUACUGUAACUUGGGGUAUCAUGGGUGCUUAUAUGGCCUACUACAUUUGGCUAGAUAGAAACGCCCGCAUCUUUGAAAAUAGAAGAAUACAUCCGAGGAAUGUGGUGGACGGGACACUUCCACAUGCUACUAAAAUUACUCAAUCUACUGCUUUUCUUUCAUCUGGGACGGUUAGGGAUAUCUGGGACUCCCAUCCAACUUUUAUAGUGACCCAAAUGGUUUUCAUCUCCUAGGAGUCUCCAACUUCGAGUUUUCUUAAGGUGAACUUCGACGGCAGCAUGAUUGAUGGCAGUAUCAGAGGAGGGUCGAUUUUGUGAUUAGGGGUUAUGAUUCUAGACAAAUUGCUAUGAGGGUCGAUGCAUUUUGACACAUCUGUCCCCAAAGCAGAGUUGAGAGCUUCUUGGGAAGGCCUUACCUAUGUGAGGCUCGUCUUGGGAGGAGACAACAUCUACCUUGAAGCUGAUUUCGUCAUGGUAAUCGAGUGGAUUAAGGAUCAGCACAGGAUUGGUGAUGGAUAUUUGCUGCUACUGGACAUCCACAGGCUGAUGAAGGGUUGUGGUGCAUUUCGGGUUACUCAUGUCUACUGGAAGACAAAUAGGGCUGCCGACCAGGUCGCCUCCUUCGUUGCUCAGCAUUCGAAUAAGGUCCUCUAGGAGAACCACGAGGCUGCCUCUCCUUCUCUACAACAACUUGUUUUUUGUUUUGACUUUUCCUAUUCACUCCGACAUCUGGACCUAUGACACCUCCAGUUUAAACGAGCACUUGGGUUAAUUCUAUCUUCUAGAUAUGCUUAAAGCCUCUCCACGAAUUGGAUUCCUACGCUCGGAUAACGAACAAACUAAGCUAUGUUUCCAUGCAUGGGCCCGGCAUUGCAUGGGCUCUUAGUAGAUCACGUAUCGUAUCCAUGCGCGUCCACAUUUAUUGGAAUGAUCCACGAAAAAAGAGUAUCGUGGAAUGUGGACUCUAAGUUUCCUCUUUCCCAUCUUCCUUUUCUUUUAGGUUUCAUAUAUAUGUUAUUAUAAUGAUGAAAUUUCUUUGAUUGUCCGCGUAAUGUGGGGAUUUUUUUUUUUUUUUGAAUAUACGCAAGGCAUUCAAACUUGUAUGAGUUAGAUGUCCUCUACUUUCAUUCCGUCACAUCCUUCUCUUGCCAAAACCAAGAUCUUGCAAUCUUUGGUUUAAAGUCGGAGAGAGGCAUAGAAGAGUACCGAGGGACUACCUAGUUGUUAGGGCUCAUUGACUCUUAUGUGUCUUUCUAGAGAGAGAUUUCCACGUAGAUCAUGAUAUCAAAGUAAUGUUGGGUUGUACACCAAAAAAAAAAAAGUAAUGUUGGGUUCGUCCAACCAAAUUGGCCUAGAAUUUGAUGUUGAAAUCAUCNNNNNNNNNNNNNNNNNNNNNNNNNNNNNNNNNNNNNNNNNNNNNNNNNNNNNNNNNNNNNNNNNNNNNNNNNNNNNNNNNNNNNNNNNNNNNNNNNNNNNNNNNNNNNNNNNNNNNNNNNNNNNNNNNNNNNNNNNNNNNNNNNNGACAUGGUUCAAACUCAGAACCUCUGCUCUGAUACCAUGUUGAAAUCACCACUUAUCUUAAAAGCUUAAGCUAAUAGGAUGAGAUAGAUCUAUUUAUAUAUAUUUAAUAUUUUCUUACAGUAUAUACAUAUAAAUAUAUAUAUAUAUAUAUAUUAUCUGGUAUUGCUAAUUGAUUGUUUUCUUAUUACUUAUAGUGUACCGUUUCAAGAUUCUUACUAGGUUGGAAAAGCUCAUAUUCUUUGCAUUUUUUUUAGAGUCACAGGAGGCAUAGUUUCGAAUGAGAGGGACAUGGAGUUGAUGUUGCUAGAAGUUAGUUAGCUAGUUAUCUCUUUUAUUUUGCUGAUAUCGAUGGACAUCGAAAACUUUGUAAUUAAACUAGUUGAUGAUUUAAUGUUAGUGGUAUUAUUGGAUUGAUUUAAUUAUAAUUGUUGGUAUUUUGUAGAUAUUGUUCAUCCCAUGCCUAGCAUAUUCUCUAGGGCAUUGUCUUAUGGAGUGUGCGGCCGUGUUAUGUGGUCGGACCUAAGUGUUGGGUUUGGGGUAUGACGGAAGUGGUACUAGAGCUUAAGGUUUAGGAUUAUAGGAUUUAAGUAUGCGGGUAGACAUCUAUGGAAAAUUAAAAAUCACUGUUAUGAAUAGGAGGCAUAUUUGUGAUGUUGAAGUCAUUUAGACUAAAGUAAUAUGUAGAAGUUGAUAAUGACAUUGUAGGAUUAUAUGGCACGAGGGUGUGGACGUAUGUUUGCUAGGAGGCCUACACAAUUUUAGGUUAGUGAUUAUGUUUUGUUGAAGGUAUCUCCCACUAAGGGUGUGAUGAGGUUUGGGGUUUGCGGUAAAUUAAGCUUUAGGUAUGUUAGUCCAUUUGAAAUCUUAGACAGGGUCAGAGAAGUGGCAUAUCAAUUGGCAUUACCACCGGCUCUAUCAGAUGUGCAUAAUGUAUUCCAUAUUUCGAUGCGGAAGAAAUAUGUUUUAGACCUGAAUCAUGUGGUAGCAUGAGCCAUUGUCUCUUCAUGAGAAUUUAACCUACAAAGAGUUUCCAAUACGAAUUGUAGACAAAAAGAAUCAGAUAUUAUGACAUCGAACGAUUCCUUUUGUGAAAGUAUAAUGUAAUAAUCAUUCAGAAAGAGAGGCUACUUGGGAGCUCAAAGAUGAGAUGAUCGUCAAACAUCCACAACUUUUGAAACUUCAUGUAUAUUAAUUUCGGAGACGAUAUUAUUUUAAGGGGAGAGAAUUAGCGGCCCAUAGGCUUGUGGGCCGGCCCAAAGGGGGCAAGCUAAACUCCUCACGUGUAGCGGACGUGAGGGAAGCGAGGAAGAAGACUCCGACUCCUCCCCGAUCAUGAUUAUGCCAAAAAAAUUGGAGUUUCAAGGCGAUUCCAAGACCAAAUCCUAGCCGGAGUCUUCUUCCUCCCCGAUCAUGAUUAUGCCAAAAAAAUUGGAGUUUCAAGGUGAUUCAAAGACCAUAUCUUGCCUAGUUAUGACCACUCAUCCUUCUCUUUUGAGAUCCAUCAAAGAAUAGGCAAGAUUUCACCACUGUUCCCAAGCUCUUUCUGAGUUUCUUCCUCCGAUUUUUGCUGGUAAGAGUCACCAGAUUUUCGUUGGAUUGAGGUAGGAUCCCUUCUCUUCUUUCGAUCUUCUUGCCAUAUUUUGCCAUGAUUUGAGCGAGUGAAUCGCCGAGAAAUCAUCCAAAAUAGAGGUGUCCUAUUUCAGUGCUCUUUUCCGAGUUUUGCCAUCACUAGCCACCGAGUUUGGCCGAGGUUGUGGCCAUCAUCGGGUGAGCAGCCGGCCAUCGCAAUUGCCACCUUUUACUUGCAGGGGGGAAAGUAGAAAGGAGAAGGAGAAGAUGAACUUCUCCAUUCAUGAAAAGAGAAGAGAGUUUUCUCUCUCUUUUUCCCUCUUCUCUCUUUUCUCAUUCUUUUUCUGCUCUCUAUUUCUCUCUAGUUUCUCUCUCUUCUUUCUUCCUAUUUUCUCUCUCUCUUGGUGUCUCUCUCUAGUUGAUGGAGGUAAGUGGUAGAAGGGACUCAGGGGACCUAGUGAUGGAUCCCUAGUAGAUGCCGGUAGGCGGUCUAGGUUACUAGUCCACUGUUUGAUUUUUUUUUGAUAAUCAAGUUUGAUUCUAUAGAGAAAGAGUCAUCUGUGCAAGAGGAUUUUGAUCGGAGUAUUUUGCACUCCAGCUCGUAGACCAUAAAGUGGGUCAGUCUUUGUUGUAUUUAAUCAGUCUUUGAUAGAAAUAAGAAAUAACAAAAUAUAGUUUCAACUAACCUCGUCAUGCGAUAGCUUCUACGAGUUUAUCCAUGGGAGCUGCUGCUUCCCCAGUGCCUUGUUCUGCUACCUGAGGUCUCAGCAAUCCCUUGACAUCCCUCUCCUCCCGGAGCUUCUUCAUCGGAGGAGUCAGUGUCGCUUCCGAAGGCGUCCAUGGGCUUAUGCAUGAGAUAGCCUCCACGAGCUUAUGCGCGGGAUAGCCUUUACGAGCUUACGCAUGGGAUAGCCUCUAUGAACUUAUGCGUAGGAUAGCCUCUAUGAACUUAUGCGUAGGAUAGCCUCUACACGCUUAUGCAUAAAAUAGCCUCCAUGGGCUUAUGCGUGGGAUUUUAUCAGUCUUGGAAUGGGUCAUGAUCUUGGUUAGUCUAAAGUCAGAACAUAAUUGAUAAGGAAUAUGGAAAUCAAGUUAAUGAGAAACAGAUAAUAUGAUUUUAAGAAAUUAUUGUUGAACAAUUAGUUUCAUUUGAGAUAUAUGUAUAUAUAUACAUAUAUUUCUAUGAUAAGAUUAUGAUGUGCAUAUUAUUCGUAAGAGCUUUUCGAGUAUUGAUACGAUAUUUAUUUUAUCUGGUAUUGCUAAUUGAUUAUUUUUUAUUACUUAGAGUGUAGCGGUUCGGAAUUCCUAUGAGGCUGGAAAAGCUCAUAUUCUUCUUUGCAUUUUUUUUUUCCAGAGUCACAGAAGGUGUAGUUUCAAAUGGGAGGGACGUGGAGUUGGUGUUGCUAGUAGUUAGGUAGCUAGUUAUCUCUUUUAUUUUGCUGAUACCGAUGGACAUGAGAACUUUUGUAAUUGAAUUAGUUGAUGAUUUAAUGUUAGUGAUAUUAUUAGAUUGAGUUAAUUAUAAUUGUUUGUAAUAUAUGGAUAUUGUUCAUCAGGUCUAGCAUAUUCUUUAGGGCACUAGCCUAGGGAAUGUGCAGCUGUGCUAUGUGGCCGGACUCGGAUGUUGGAUUCGGGGCUGUGACAUAGGGCCCCUCCCUCCUCUUCUUCUUCUUCGUCACGUCUUUCUUCCACGUCAAUUUUUUUUGCCAUCUCUUCAUCAUCCUCGAGAGAAGUCAUCCAAAGUGAGUUUAGAUCGUUUCCCUAGCUCGUAAUCCGUCUGCUCUUGGUCGUUUACUUGAUCCAACCACGAAGGAAAACCCUGUUUUUUCCUCUCCCUAACACCUUAUCUGAAUUGAGAAAAAUGAAUAAAGAAGAAAGAGAGGAGAGAGAGCAAGAGUUCCCUCAGUGGUUAAGAGAGAAGAGAGUCUCUCUUUUGGUUAGAAACUAUAGUACGUAAGAAAGUAAGAUGAAGAGAGUUAAAAUCCGUCAUUUGCAUUAAAAAAGUGAGAAGAAACGUACCUUUAGUAUGUUUUCAGUAACCAAUCCAUGCACAUCCGGUAUCCAAAUCCAUCGGGCAGCAGCUCCCAUACGAGAUGAAAAAUAUCUCUAGUAUAUCUUUUCGGUUCCAAACAUCUGCAGUAGAGCCACGGCAUCUCAUGUUCCCUGCAUUAUCAAAUGAGAUAUAUAGUUUCAAAUUAAUAAUCCAUAUCGACAUGCAAAUUGUAAAAAGUGGGCUUUAGGCAGUGGGAAUUAUUGAUGCCCAUGGAUAGAAUAGAGUAUCUGUAUCCAGUAUCCUCUCCACUGCGAGGACUCUAUAUAGAGUCCAUUCUUUACAAGGAGAGACACCCCUCGCCCCUCGGUCUACCAUCCUGCAGAGGAAGCAAAGAACCAUAUCUCUAUAACAACAGUUGUACCCAAGGCUUGUUUUGCUGUUGCAAGACAUCUAUAACAAGCUUGAACAAAUACCUGGAUAACUGCAAAACGGUAUUAGACAUAGAAGUAGCAGAAAGCCAAUAAUUGAAAUAGUAUUGAGAAUAGGAUUAACAAGAGUAAUAGGGCCCGCUGAAGAAAGAUUGUCCCACUUUCAAUCAAAUGCUGCUACCGUGCCAUAGGCUUCCUCUUGCCUGCAAUAAGAGACCCAAGUAGUUGGAAGGAAACGCACCCAAUAGUAUUUUGUAUGGAUGGUAAUGUGGAGUGGACAACCAGCUCGAAAUUAUUUGCAUCUGAUCGUUCUUGCACCUGAUGCUCUAAGUCCGUUUUGUCAGCUUUCAGCUGAGACCGUGAUUCACAUGCUCUAUGGAAGUAGACGUGCAAGUUUGCUUUGGCAGGGAACUUUGCCUAUGCAGUACCUUUUUUUCAGCGACUUGCAGGUCUAUUUAGUUCUACAUUGGCUAUAUUUUAGAUAGAUCUUUUGUAAUUAUAUAGAGCCAAAGAAUUUAAAUAAUAUUUUCUAACUAGUUUUUAAGGGACAUUCUAGGUUGCGGUAUGGCUACUGUCUUUCUUCUGCUGAUCCACAUCUGAUGACAGAAAAAGUAUAGCCAAAACUAAAAGGUGUUUACUGAAGGAGCUAUUUUGAAGGCCAAGGUUUUAUGGCAGGAUUCUCAACAGUAGAUUGGGGUUUAUGGGGUGGCGUGUUUGUCUUUUGGUGGCUUUAUGUUCUCCUUGCUGGUUCUACAAAAUCACUCCAAAAUAUUUCAGGAGCAUCUUUGGUUGCUUCAACCUCAACUCCAACAUUGCAUUUCAAUAUAUGCUACGACCCUGUCAACCUUUAUUUUGGCCAUUUUGCAAUCAGGAUUGAGACUGAAUCAUCUCCUCGGCUGGGUUGAAAAUGAGAGACCCACUCAUGCAAUCACAACCGCGCAUCAUUAUAAUCACAUAAUAAUCCAUAAUUGCAUGAGCUCUACAUUAUAUCACACACGUAUUGCAUUAUCCCAUGCACCGCAGAGGAUUCAUGUAAUUAAAACCAUCGCACCAUACACAAAUCAUCUCAAUUUAGGACGAACAACCUACCAUCUACAACACCAGACACUACUUGUUAUUGAAGCUUUUUUUUCCAGAAAUUUUUGCAUAUAUAUAUAUAUAUAUAUAUAUAUAUAUCUUUACAAAUUUAUUACUUACAUGCAUAUCUUUAUAAAUUAUUUUUAAAUAACUAAUGAGGAUAUAAAUAUAAAUAGUAAAUUUGAGAAGAUAUUCAUAUAAUUUUAGAUAUUUAUAAAAAUAUACGCAAAAAAAAAUCUUAUAUUGUACGACAUUCUAAGGUGCAGACAUUUGGUGUUUUUUUUAAGAGGAUGUUGCUAUCAUAGCAAUGAUAGAUUUUGCUGUUAAUGAUAUUUGUUUAUAUAUCUCGCAUGACAAGUCGAUUAAUAUUUAACGCAUCAACUCAUAUUUACUAUAAACAGGACAUCAAGGCCAUGGCCCACAAGAAUGGCUCAACCUGACUCUCCAUGCGUUAUUAUAGUAAGUUGUUGCCACGCUGGCAAACAGGAGUUGGCAAGAUGUUGGAUGGCUAAAAGCUUCCGCUCCAUUGCCAGACUGUCUCCUACCUCCUCUCCUCCUUUCCCUCCCCUUCUCUCUCGUCAACAACAAAUCCAGAGAGAACGAAGCAGCGAUCAGAAAAUCCAACAACCCCCAAACGUCUGAUCCAGAAGAGUAGGAGAAGGAGAAACAGAGGAAAAUUCUAUCUAAUAUUAGCAGUUAUCUUCUUUCAAAAAUGAGUCUUUUCGGCCUCGGAAACAGGUCCAUUUCACCAUCCUUCUUCCUUUCUUUCGUACUUUUUAAUCUCUUGGAGAUUCCAGUCAUGUAGGGCUUGACCAUGGUGUGCUCUGGGGUUUCUUCCAAUUCUUUUAGAUUUCUUUUGCAAAUUUUGGCGCUUGUAUUAAGAGAUUUGAUGAAAUGAAGCCUUUGUAAAUGUAUAGCAGAUCGAGAAGCUGAGUUUCUUAUCUGUGAAUAAAAUGGCGGUGGUUUUGUUUGUGUUGUUAGAUUUUUAUGCCAUUAUUUUGAUUCCUUCGUAAAAAGUUCAUGGAUUAAUGUAUUGGCUUGUGUGAACAGGAACCAGAAGACAUUUCGGCCCAAAAAGAAUGCUCCAUCUGGAAACAAGGUAAGGACUUUUUCUUGACAAUUGUGGGAUUAAGACUCUCAAGUUUAGAGCUUGCAAUCAAGGCCAUAGUUUUAUAGAUUAUUGAUAUUUCAGUACUUCUUAGAAUGUUUCUUUCAUGGAUAAUUAUGUGAUGAGGGCAGAGCUGGCGGGAUUUAAUAAUCUCUAUGGAUAAUCAUGGCAGGAAUCUACUCGUUUUCUUGUAUUAUAUGAAAAUGCUUAUCGAAAAUGUUGGAUUGUAGGUUGUAUGUCUAUGCUGCGUAAUUGUGUCUUGAGUGCAGAAUCAGUGGCUUGAUGGAUUACCUCUUGAAUUAUUUUAUUUAUUAGUCAAUGUUCAUGUCUUAAUCAGAAGGCCUAGUCAACUUUUAGUCGCCAAUUAACUAUGGUUAUUUUAUCACUGGCCCAUAUUCUUGUUACUAUUUUCUUUUUCUGUCGAUUUAUGUAAUCAAGCAUUGGAAAAUACUGAUGUGCUUUGACUGGUCUGUACUUGUACCUAACUGUUAAAAGAUCUUAUGCAUUAAUCAUUACAAUUCCUCAUGGACUAUACCAAGUGUAUCUCAGUGUCAGUACUAUUUUGUUACUAGCCUUAGUACAACACAUGCAAUCAACAUUAUAACCCUUGUUUUAGAUAUAGUUAGAAAAAAAACUUUUUGUAUGUUACUUUCCUAUUUUUCUGAUUUUUUAUUCUGUCAACAAAUACCUCCAACAUUUUAUUAUUCCUCUGUUUCCUUUUUUUCUUUUAAGUUCGGUCGGUACCCUCAAAUUUCCAUUAUGAUAUACUAACUCAUGUAUUCAGCAAAUGAACAGCUCCCUAGCGCUGCCCAAAGGCAUGAACUUAUAAUUUGUGAGUUUUUUUUAAUAUAGUUUGGCUUGUUUUUUAGUUUGGUUCUUUGAUUUGUGUUUUUUUGGGCUCGAGAUGAAUAUUCAUACGUUGCUUUAUUCAUCUAUACUCUUUCCAAGUGUAGGGUAAUCUUGGAAGAUUUCUCCUUGGUUCCUUGAGUGACCAAAAGAUGUCUUCCUACCGACCAGNNNNNNNNNNNNNNNNNNNNNNNNNNNNNNNNNNNNNNNNNNNNNNNNNNNNNNNNNNNNNNNNNNNNNNNNNNNNNNNNNNNNNNNNNNNNNNNNNNNNNNNNNNNNNNNNNNNNNNNNNNNNNNNNNNNNNNNNNNNNNNNNNNNNNNNNNNNNNNNNNNNNNNNNNNNNNNNNNNNNNNNNNNNNNNNNNNNNNNNNNNNNNNNNNNNNNNNNNNNNNNNNNNNNNNNNNNNNNNNNNNNNNNNNNNNNNNNNNNNNNNNNNNNNNNNNNNNNNNNNNNNNNNNNNNNNNNNNNNNNNNNNNNNNNNNNNNNNNNNNNNNNNNNNNNNNNNNNNNNNNNNNNNNNNNNNNNNNNNNNNNNNNNNNNNNNNNNNNNNNNNNNNNNNNNNNNNNNNNNNNNNNNNNNNNNNNNNNNNNNNNNNNNNNNNNNNNNNNNNNNNNNNNNNNNNNNNNNNNNNNNNNNNNNNNNNNNNNNNNNNNNNNNNNNNNNNNNNNNNNNNNNNNNNNNNNNNNNNNNNNNNNNNNNNNNNNNNNNNNNNNNNNNNNNNNNNNNNNNNNNNNNNNNNNNNNNNNNNNNNNNNNNNNNNNNNNNNNNNNNNNNNNNNNNNNNNNNNNNNNNNNNNNNNNNNNNNNNNNNNNNNNNNNNNNNNNNNNNNNNNNNNNNNNNNNNNNNNNNNNNNNNNNNNNNNNNNNNNNNNNNNNNNNNNNNNNNNNNNNNNNNNNNNNNNNNNNNNNNNNNNNNNNNNNNNNNNNNNNNNNNNNNNNNNNNNNNNNNNNNNNNNNNNNNNNNNNNNNNNNNNNNNNNNNNNNNNNNNNNNNNNNNNNNNNNNNNNNNNNNNUUUUUCUAUACCCCUCCCAAAAAUGUGAUGCUUAUUUGCCAGAUUUCUAAUGUUAUAUUGAAUUGCAAUAAAGUCAGUAAUAUUUUGCUGCUCAUGAUUUGAAUAAUUUAUAACUAGCCGGAUUUCUUACUUUCUGCCUUUGGAUCUAGAACUAUUGAAAGCCAUUCUCCUUCAUUAAUUUGUAUAUACCUUUUUGACCAUUUGCUCCUAGUUAUUCCAAAUUUCUUCAUUUUCAUCAUCAUUUAUAAUUUUGGAUCUCCAUUUUUUUAUUCAUCAUACUUGAUAUGGUCCCUCUAACAUAGUAUUCAAACAUGCUUGUAAGUUGUCAUUUUGAAAAGUGAAAAUUUUCAUUUAAUGGAACAAAAUUUUGACACUUUUUAUAGAUUUUCCACUCUCCUCUCUCAAUUCUUAUUCUAUAAGAUAUAUAGACUAAAUUUGAAACAUUUUCAUUAAAUAUUGAUACCUUUCUAUAUCUUUCCUUGGUCAACCUUUUUUUGUUGAUGUCUCUAUGAAUAUUUUAUUUCCUGUGUGUGGCAUUCUAGCACAUCUUAUACUGCACAACAGUACAAAGCAUUAACUCAAUGUGAUAACUUCUCUAUUGCACUAAAUUUAGCCUCAACAGCAUUUUGGGCAAGGUUUGAUGUCCUGCUGAAACAGGACAGUGCUAUCGUUAUAGUACCAUUCCAAUGGGAAAAUAGGACCAGGACAGCCUAUGAGACACUAGUCCUAUAUCGAAUUGGGACUUCUCACCCAUCUCAGCCUAACUAGCUCUUUCAAGGCUUGGCUAGGCUGGUAAACAUGCAACCCCACCAGGUCACCUAAUUCUGAAAAGAAAAAGAGAGUAGCGGGGACCUAAACUUUCUUUCCUUUUCUUAGUCACAGACAUACUGUGGUUAGAGACCAAGAAAAGAAGAAGGAAAGAGAGGGGUGAAGAGACAGAGGAAGUGAUGUCUCACAAAUAUCUGUUGAUAAUGUGUCAAAUAUUGUUAUACCAAUACCUGCUCCAUACACCUCAUCAUUGUCACAAAAAGCACUUAAACAUGUUAAAAAUUACUAUGAAUCUAUUUAAGAUAAAAAAAAACUUUAAAUUUUAAAAAUAUAGAGAAAUGUCCCAGUACCUAGAUUAGGACCAUCUCAAAAAUAGGGAUGGUACCAUCCCAGUAAUGUACUAUCCCAAUGAAAUACUGUGGGUAUUUAAACCUUGCUUUGGGGUCUUUAUUUUAAUUGUCUAUUACUAGUGUGUUGCUAGUCAUGUCUUGAAGCAAUUUAUUUUUAUAUUAUUUGUCUAUGAAUCUGAACAUUGUUAUGAAUACUGCCUAUGCACCUCUUUCAGUAAAAAAAAAUGAGCGUGAGAGAGAGAGAAAGAAAGAAAGAAAAUAAAAGAAAAGAAAUAACUGCCUACACUAACAUUCUUCAUGUCAAACACUUGCGAUCCAUUCUUCACCAUCCACACAUUACCAAAUUCACCAGGAUCAUAGUUAUACUGUUUUGGAAGGUAAGCUGUGUCCAAAAAUGGGAUGGCAUAUUUCAGUUUGAUGGUUAAUUGAAAAAAAUUCUAGUGACACAAUAUGAAACACUUACACAUCUCAAGUAAGAUCUUUGUCUCCCCUGUCCUUAAAAUAAUUUUUUUUUGAUGCUGCAUAUAUUUAUUUGUGUGAGCUGUUUAGUUUCGUAACAUAAGCAUUUGAACAAAUUGUAGUUUGAUGCAGUUCACAAUACACUCAACUCUGGGUCACUGAAAUCCACAAAAUUUGCCAAGCAUGAUUUCUUAUACUCAUUUUUCGUUGUUAUCAAACAGGGGGCGCAGCUGAAAAGACACAUUGAUGCUACAUUAGGUAGUGGGAACCUAAGGGAGGCUGUACGAUUACCACCUGGGGAGGACCUUAAUGAAUGGCUUGCUGUCAAUAGUAUAGCUCUAACACUCUGAGUAUUUCCAUGUAGAACUACUAUGGUGGUGAUAUAUAGAAUAGGACAUUAUCAUAUCUCUAUGCUUGCUUAUAUGUCAUUUUUUUCCAUCAUUGACGGGCAACUCAGUCCACCUGAAAAACUUUUCCCCUGGAUUACUGGAUCUUAACAUUUGUUAUUUUAAUUCCGUACUUCAUUUUUUCCUCUGCAGCUGUUGACUUCUUCAAUCAGGUUAAUAUUUUGUAUGGCACUCUCAUAGAAUUUUGCACACCAACCAGCUGCCCAACAAUGUCAGCAGGAGCAAAGUAUUAUUCUAUCACUAGUGGUCAAUCCUAUUUGGAUUUAUUUUAAUAAAUGCAUAUGAGUGCAAUUUCUAAUCUUUUUCUGUCAGUAAAAAUAGUUGAAUGAAGCAUUGUUUCUCUAGGAUAUGCUCUAAUGGGGGAUGAAAUUCUACAGGUUUGAGUAUAGGUGGGCCGAUGGAGUUCAAAUUAAAAAGCCUAUCGAGGUUUCUGCGCCAAAAUAUGUAGAUUAUUUGAUGGACUGGAUCGAAUCGCAGCUUGAUGAUGAAAACAUAUUUCCGCAAAAACUUGGUACUUAUAUGUCCAUGAGAUAGAUAUAAUGCUCAACGAUAUAAUGGUUUGUGCCCCUUGAAUUUUAUCAGUUCUGACUUAGUGAUAUCUACUUCAGGGGUGCCAUUUCCUCCGAAUUUUCAUGAUGUUGUCAAAACGAUAUUCAAACGUCUGUUUCGGGUGUAUGCUCAUAUUUAUCAUUCACAUUUUCAAAAAAUUGUGAGUCUGAAGGAAGAAGCUCAUCUCAAUACUUGCUUCAAGCACUUCAUUUUAUUUAUAUGGGUAAAUAUCUAUCCUUGAUGUAAGCAAGCAGUAUUUUAUUCUGGUGUUUAGCAGACUAUCUAGCUGGCUACUCUUUCCUCUUGCCUUUUUUUACAUGACAUAACUGACUCUUCCUGAAGAUCUUUGUUGCAAUUUAUCUGCCAUAUCUUAGAUGAUUUAUGCCCUGCAUCUUGGACUAGAACUAUAAAAUAAUAUUAUCCUGAGUCCUUAUCAAGAAUAAAUUGUUACUGAAGAUAAAAAUCAGUUAUGUCUGUAACUUCAUUGCACAAUGAUUCCAUAUAUUUUUAGUUAGUAGUUGAUAUUACUGUUUCCUCAGUAUUUAUUCCCUCUAUAAAAAUUCAUGGUUGCUAGAAGAAUGUCAAAGCUUCUUAACAUGGCAACAGUUCAGCUCUCAGGUUACAACAUGUCCAGCUCCAAUUUUUGGUCCAUGCAAAGGAAGUGUAUGGAAGUGCUUUGUGUUAUACAAGUUUUUUUUUUUUUUUAAAUUUCUGGAAAAUACAGAAGAGGCUUCGCCAUGUGGUUUUGACAUGUACAAAAAUUCAACAAAAUUACACACUUUCUCCUCUAAAGGAGAUACUUAUAGUGAGAUGCCAAUAUCCAAUGUUUGUGAGACUCCAUCAAAGAUUUGACUGCUAGCUAGUAAAUCAUUGAUUUUCGAGUCCAGAUUGCAUCGAGAUUCUAAAUUAUCUUCUCGUUAUAUUUUUCAACAUUUUAUGCAAUAAUAUGGUUUGAAAUAAUUAGAAAUGUAAGACCCAUUUGUUGCAUAGGGUGUCACGGGUUUCAAACGAAGAAAAUGUCUAUCCGUGCAUGGGGAUAAAGCUGUAUACAUCUAACCCUCCCAAACCUAUAAUGGUGGGAGCCUCGCGCAUUGGAAUGCUCCUCUCUUAGACAUAUAAGAUCCAUAAUAAUUUUAGAUAUCUCAACCGAUGUCCUUCAUACCUUGUAUUGUAAAUAUUCUUUUUUUCCCAUAUCAAGGUGAGUUUCUUCUUGUGGUGGGAGAUGUAGAUUAGAAUUUGCAAUGAAGUGUACAUCACAAUGUCAUUUGCAAGACAAUUUUUGGUACUGGCAAUGAUCUUCUGGCCAAUUAGGGGUCAUUACUUGGUGCAGUGGUAAAAGGCUUGGGCUGACAAGCAUGAUUCGACUCUUGGGGCAGCCACUUUGUUGAAAAAAAGUCAAAGGUUUGAUCUAACACCCGGAACACCCCUCCUAGGGCAUAAAUUGUUGGGACCAUAAGUGGGUUGGCCUUUUUAAUGAUCUUUCUGGCCAAUAGUUGUUAGCUCAGUUGGUUGGCACCCCUCUCUUAAGGGCUUGACAUUAGGGGAGGACCAAUAUUCAAGAGUUGGGAUCCUCUCAAGUUCAUGGCUGGAUCAAAUAGAUCCAAUCUUACCAUCAGUGCCAUCCAUGUAUUGCAUGAUGGCCUGUGAUGGGGCAGCGCCGGUUUAAUGCAUGGGGCAGACUGGAGAGGAUCCAAACUGAAGGUUCAAACCUUGGUGGUGGUACAUUAUCACUGUAUUGCUCGAAAAAAAGGAGCAACGAUCAUUAUGCUACAUUUCUUAGAUAGACCACCUCUAUAAAAUUAAUCAGCUGACAUUGGUUGAGAUCGAUUUUCGCCUGGAAAUUAGGAUCUGCAUCUCUUCAUUUUUGCAUCACCAUUUGUGAGGUAAUUACUAAAGGAAUAAAUGCAUCUAUGUCACAAUCAUAUUCUUGUGCGUACUUCUUUUAUUUAUGAAAGGAAGAGAGUUUGCAAUGACAUCAGAAUUUAUGCAGAAAUAGUUACCAUUUGUGUCCCUUCUUUGAAGGAGAACCAAUUUAAAUUUAGUGGACAUACUGGCUAAUAUCACAAGAAAAGCUUAUGAUCUUUAGCUUCUCUUGAAAGAAAAUGCUUUGUAUCCACCAAAACCUCCCUGAAAUGGCUGCAACUCAUGGAUUUUUCUGAACUGCCAAGGACAAAGUUGGCAUUUUUGCCCCAAAUUAAUAACCUUAGUUUUUGGAAAAAUGUGGCAGCAUUCUUUCUGAAAACAAAUGAAUGCAGCCAAAGCAGAAUGAUUGUACUCCUUAAGCUUGUUCAAGCCAAAGUAUGAGGCACUUUCUGUACCUGAUAUGGGGAAGUUACUUAAUGUACCCUUAUAUUUGAGGAACUGAUGUCUUUGUUAAAGUAUUACACGGUGUAGAGGCCAACUUUCUUAAAUUGUGAUAUAGAAAUAAGCUUGCAGAACUUAAUGAAAGUGGAAAACCUUCAUUCCAGUUGGUACGUAUUAAGCUCUUUCUGUAAUCAAUGCACUGUUUAUAGGCAAUAUUUUUCUCAGCUGACAUAACCAAAAUAAAGACAUAGUUAUUACUUGUGAACAAGAGCAAAACUUAGCUUUGGAAAUACAGCUUAUGAUAAGAGAUGCGUUGUGAAAGAGGUCAGUGCUGAUUUUCUCUGCUUAAUCUAGAUGUGGUCUGUAUCCAAAAAUGUUUCUUCUAGCUGCUGGUCUACAUUUGCUUUGAAGCAAACUUUAAGGAGAGAAGUUUCAGAUUCUUAAUCAACAAGCAUGUACUUUGGAGCUAUGAACUCGUCUCUGUACUUUUAUGAUUCAUUUAUAGAUCCAGAUCCUUUUGAAUGCAUGUACUAUAGGGACCAGUAAAGCCACAAACUGAUAGCAAUAAGUACUCAUGUAAACCUUCGAACCUUAAUAUGUAUGAAUUCCUACUAGGGGCUGAGCAAUAUCUUACUAAUUGUUCCAUAUUUGGGUUUCUAGCUGUGGAAUGUAAUGUGGCUUAAUUACUGUGCUAAUUUAAGUUGUGGGUUCUUAAGCUCAUACCCAGAUUUGAGAUCAUAUUUUUAAUAGUUGUGCAAAUGAUACCUUUAAAAUAUGAUGGUUAUUACAUCAUACACUCAAACAUUUAUUGCAUGCAGCCAUCAAUCCAGAAUGGCCGAUUGUUAUGCCAUCUCCUUACUCAAUGCUAAACUUAUCAGAUGACAAUAUUUACAUUUUUAGCUGUACCAUUCUUUGGCCAAAAUCAAGUGUUCUUAAUUUGUGAUUCAUUAAAUACUGAAAUAUAUAGCUGGAUGCUUCAUUCAUCUAACUGCUUGUUCUUGAUUCAUUUGUUUUGCAGGAAUUCCGUCUGAUCGAUGAAGGUGAACUUGCACCUCUUCGUGAUCUAAUUGAAUCUAUCAUUGUUGCACAUUGAAAAAAAAAUGACAAUCCUGAAAAGUAAUUGACAAAAAUAACCAAUUAAGAUCCUGGUCGCUCUUUUUAACAAUUAGUGUUUACAGGUGAUGAUUGUGAAGAAAAACAUAGAAAAUAAAGGCAAUCCUCUUUGAUCUUUUUUGAUUAAUUGAAACAAGACCUUAGAAAUGUUGUUUUAUUGGUUGUUUUCUUGUUGUUGUGCUCGAAUGCACAAGAACGCUGCCUCGAUAUGGCUGAGUGAUCAUGCCGGCAUUUCUAAUAGGGAAGCUCUAUUUUAGACAUUAUUUUCUAACUGUUAUUCUAAAUUAUCUCACCUGCUCCUACAUUUUGUACUUCUAUGGCAAUCAUAGGCUGAUGGGAUGGGUUUCAGGAGCAAUGUUAACAGCAGAUUCUGAAGCCACAGAGAAAUUCCUAUGCAAGUAUUUGAUAGUUUGACAUCAGUUUGCAUCACUCUUGCAUUGUCUUGCCCCCUGAUAUAUUUGACAUGUAUCUUGCAUUAAAAGAUGUUGGGAUUACUGCCAGUGGCCAAUUGGUUCAUCGGAAUUAUUUGGCUUGGCUGGAUACUUGCAUCCAUGCUAAAGUGAAGUCUGUUCUGAAGAAGAGAUAAUACAACAACAGAAUACAUCAGUAAAGUUAAACAAUUAGCAAAUAGUGGGGGAGAAUACCAAGGGGGUAAUUAGUAGUACAGCUAUUGGCUGUUGCUCAAGUGCCUCUGUUCAUGCCACGAGAUAAAAUGGAACUUGUUUCUCAUUUGAUGGCUGGAAAGCCAAAGACCAAAUAAAAAAAAAAAAACAAGUCUCGUCUAUCUUACAUGAUCUAAAAAUAAAAUAAACUGGCUUUUGUUCUAAUAUCAUGAAGAUGGCCAAGCCGUAGACAUGGAUCUUGUUCAUGACACUACCACCUGUUGAAUGUCAAGUCAGAGUGCGAAUCCAGACAUGCCUAAGAUUGCUACAGAUUUUUACCGUUGAGCACAAUGACAGCUUUUGUUCCAAAAUGCUUUUUGACCUCAAACACA